rnacentral:rRNA from 1 species
GACGAACGCUGGCGGCGUGCUUAACACAUGCAAGUCGAACGGAAAGGCCCUGCUUUUGUGGGGUGCUCGAGUGGCGAACGGGUGAGUAACACGUGAGUAACCUGCCCUUGACUUUGGGAUAACUUCAGGAAACUGGGGCUAAUACCGGAUAGGAGCUCCUGCUGCAUGGUGGGGGUUGGAAAGUUUCGGCGGUUGGGGAUGGACUCGCAGCUUAUCAGCUUGUUGGUGGGGUAGUUGCUUACCAAGGCUUUGACGGCUAGCCGGCCUGAGAGGGUUGCCGGCCACAUUGGGACUGAGAUACGGCCCAGACUCCUACGGGAGGCAGCAGUGGGGAAUAUUGCACAAUGGGCGGAAGCCUGAUGCAGAGGCGCUGCGUGCGGGAUGCCGUCCUUCGGGUGGUAAACCGCUUUCGCCUGUGACGAAGCGUGAGUGACGGUAAUGGGUAAAGAAGCACCGGCUAACUACGUG